rnacentral:rRNA from 1 species
AUUGAACGCUAGCGGGAUGCCUUACACAUGCAAGUCGAACGGAGUGGCGAACGGGGGAGUAAUGUAUCGGAACGUGCCCAGUAGCGGGGGAUAACUACGCGAAAGCGUAGCUAAUACCGCAUACUUUUGGAGCGGCCGAUAUCGGUUUAGCUAGUUGGUGGGGUAACGGCUCACCAAGGCGACGAUCCGUAGCUGGUUUGAAAGGACGACCAGCCAAACUGGGACUUAGACACGGCCCAGACUCCUACGGGAGGCAGCAGUGGGGAAUGUUGGACAAUGGGGGGAACCCUGAUCCAGCCAUCCCGCGUGUGCGAUGAAGGCCUUCGGGUUGUAAAGCACUUUUGGCAGGAAAGCGGUACCUGCAGAAUAAGCACCGACUAACUACGUGCCAGCCGCCGCGGGAGUAC